GCCAACAACCAUCAAAGAAAUAAGGGCCUCAGACCAGCAGCCCACAAGGAACUGAGAGCUGCCAGCAACCACAUGAAUGUGGCUGGAAGCGGAUCCUUCCCUCAGGGAGCCUUGACAAGGACAGUCACCCCAGCCAACACUCAGCUGCUGUGAGACGCCUGGGCGCAGAGAACUUGGCUUAGCCACAUGCUGACUCCUGACCUACAGAAAACUGAGAUAAUGAAUGUUUUUAAAGUCACCAAAUUUGGGGAUAAUUCAUUACACAGCAAUAGGAAGCUAAUACAGAAUGGUCAUUUUUUGUAGGAGAAGUCUGCACAUGAUUCUAGGCUUACACUUAUUGUGCUUAAGAAUUACCUUGGAACCUGAAACCUGUAAUCCAAAUCUUUGGAUCUGGAUAAAAGAAUCAGAUCCAAAAAAUUUUAUGUAGCCACUGGGGAUACAGCACUCGCUGGACAGCACUCUUUAGGAAGAGACUAAAGAUACUGCAUUUUGAAAUACCUUAAAUGAUUCCAAUGUACAUGGGGGAGGAGAGUUCCCAUGCAGUGAAAAGAAAAUACCAAGAUAGGCAACUCAGAAAUGUGGGUCUCGAUGUCCGAGAGCAAGAAGAGGCAAGAGUCCAGACACCGUGGGGAAGUUGGCUUUAAAGUUUUGGCCUUUUUCUCUGAAACAGGAGGAAAGACUUUUUAAGAGGAUGAAAAUACAUUGAUAUUUUGAAAUAGAAGGAAAAGCCUUAGUGUUCUCCAAAAGAAGGACAGAAGCUAUCUACAAAGCCCGAGGAAGCAGAAGCACUGUUCAAGGUUUAAAGAGAGAGGAAAAAAUAGACUCCUAGAGAAGGCUUAGUGAGCCACUAAGAAACUUAAUAAAAGUAAAGGCAUUGAGAGUGCCUGAGGAUGGCUGGUGAGCACAAUCUGGAAGAAAUGAAGAAGCCCAUUCUCUCCAGCCUCUGUACCCCACUGGGAAUAGAAGGAGGAAAAUCUCUGCGGAAGAAGAAUGCAAGAACAGUACCCACGGAAAAGACAAGUCUCUGUUGUGAUCAUUUGCUCAAGGAACGUCCAGCUGCCAUGUCGCAUGUAGUCUUAUGGAGAUGACUACAUGAUAAGAAACGGCGGCCUCCUGCCAACAGUCAUGUGAGUGACCCUGAGUGAACAUUCUGUAGCCCCCGUUGAAUCUGUGGCGAACUGAAGCCUU
rnacentral:lncRNA from 13 species